UUCAAACUUACGCCAACCCAGAUGAGUGAUUUUUCUUAUUUGUUUUUGAUACAAAAAUAUUGAGUGAUUUUGUGCAUUGGCAUCUUUAUAUUCAAGCACAAAGUAUUGCAAAUGCAAACUUGUAUGACUUAACAUCUUGCAUUGCAAAUAGUUGGUUGUGAACUCUUGAGCAAACCAAUCUGUUAGCAUUGCUUAGUUGUUGCGUUUUGUAAUGUUUCAUUAUCUGUGCUUCCUACUCUCUUCAAAGUUACCGACACAUGAUUGUUAAGAUAUAUUAUAGCAUAUAGGUACAGCAGAGCUGUAUAAAAUUUCUUUUCAGCUUUUUGUCUCAUUUUUCCAUCCAAGCUACAAGAUGUGUGGUGACAAAAGCAAAUGGGCAGUUCUUCGUGGCAUUAGCAUGUGCAAAUUUGUUGCUGCUGUCAGAAUUUUUGCAGAGCCACUGAUGCAGAGAGCCAUUUGGUCUAUCUAUCUCUGUCUCAAGAAUUGAAAUCCGUUAUCAUAUUUACUGCCAGGUGCUGGAGUUGGUUUAUGUCUAUCAUGUCUCGGAUGAUACUCUGUCAGAUCAGGUUUCAGGUUGUGUGCACAAAAUACAACCUUUUCUUGUAAAUGGAGUGAUUGACGCGCAGCAAAUUGAGCCGUUGUUGAUGAUAGAUUCGCCUAUAAAUGCAAACAAAUCAAGGGUGACAAUUAUGAAGGAAUGUAGUGGAUCUGGUGAAUCGACCUCUAAUUGGGGGAAAAUGAAAUUGUUAAUUGGAAAGAAUAUUGGCAGUAUGGGCUGGCACAUGCUGUGCUGGCUGGGGACAUUUGAAUUUUGAUGAUAUGAUAAAAUUUUUGAAGUGAUAGUAAAGACUAAAGAGGUGUUGCUGAAUUGAGAGAAGACAAGGGGCUAUGGCCCCGGACGGUUGUGUUGUUAAGUAACUAUGUAUUGUUAUUGUUAUUGCAUCAAUGAGUUGUUUCCAACAACAAAGGGUAGUUGUCCAUCUAAUCUCCCCUGAAAGGGAAGUGGUUGGUUGUGUGUAUAUAUGUAGCAACUACUUUUGUAAACAUGGAUUUUGAUUUGAUGGUUGGUUGUUGCUUUCUUUCUUAACCUGGAUUUACUUAA